AUUGAACGCUGGCGGCAGGCCUAACACAUGCAAGUCGAACGAGUGGCGGACGGGUGAGUAAUGUCUGUGACACUGCCUGAUGGAUGGGGAUAACUACUGGAAACGGUAGCUAAUACCGCAUACCAUCGGAUGUGCCCAGAUGGGAUUCGCUAGUAGGUGGGGUAAAGGCUCACCUAGGCGACGAUCCCUAGCUGGUCUGAGAGGAUGACCAGCAACACUGGAACUGAGACACGGCCCAGACUCCUACGGGAGGCAGCAGUGGGGAAUAUUGCACAAUGGGCGCAAGCCUGAUGCAGCCAUGCCGCGUGUAUGAAGAAGGCCUUCGGGUUGUAAAGUACUUUCAGCGGGGAGGCGUUACCCGCAGAAGAAGCACCGGCUAACUCCGUGCCAGCAGCCGCGGUAAUAC
rnacentral:rRNA from 1 species